UACGUAGGGGGCUAGCGUUGUCCGGAAUCAUUGGGCGUAAAGAGCGUGUAGGCGGUCCGGUAAGUCCGCUGUGAAAGUCGGGGGCUCAACCCUCGAAUGCCGGUGGAUACUGUCGGGCUAGAGUGCGGAAGAGGCGAGUGGAAUUCCUGGUGUAGCGGUGAAAUGCGCAGAUAUCGGGAGGAACACCAAUGGCGAAGGCAGCUCGCUGGGACGGUACUGACGCUGAGACGCGAAAGCGUGGGGAGCAAACAGGG
rnacentral:rRNA from 1 species